ensembl:lncRNA
UUAGGACGCUAAAGAGGCCUUUCUACUGACUCUGAAAAACACCAAAAGAAAGAUGCCCAGGAUCCCUGCUCAUCUGCUUGAAUAUGCCUUAGGCAUGCUGCAAGGAGGCAUGAGGACUGCAGAUGUGGCCAGGGCAAUAAAUUGCAAUGUCCGUUCUGUGAGACGCCUAAGACAUCGCUACAGGGAGACAGGACGGCAGCUGAUCAUCCUCGCAGUGGCAGACCACGUGUAACAACACCUGCACAGGAUCGGUACAUCCGAACAUCACACCUGCGGGACACUGAGUUAUACCAGGAACACACAAUCCCUCCAUCAGUGCUCAGACUGUCCGCAAUAGGCUGAGAGAGGCUGGACUGAGGGCUUGUAGGCCUGUUGUAAGGCAUCACCGGCUACAACGUCGCCUAUGGGCACAAACCCACCAUCGCUGGACCAGACAGGAAAGUGCUCUUCACUGACGAGUCAUGGUUUUGUCUCACCAGGCGUGAUGGUCGGAUUCGCGUUUAUUGUCAAAGGACUGAUCGUUACACCAAGGUCUGUACUCUGGAGCGAGAUCGAUUUGGAGGUGGAGGGUCUGUCAUGGUCUGGGGGGGUGUAUCACAGCAUCAUCGUACUGAGCUUGUUGUCAUUGCAGGCAAUCUCAACGCUGUGCGUUACAGGGAAGACAUCCUCCUCCCUCAUGUGGUUCCCUUUUAUUUAUUUUACAUUUUAUUUCACCUUUAUUUAACCAGGUAGGCCAGUUGAGAACAAGUUUUCAUUUAUAACUGCGACCUGGCCAAGAUAAAGCAAAGCAGUGCGACAAAAACAACAACACAGAGUUACACAUAAACAAACGUACAGUCAAUAACACAACCCUUCCUGCAGGCUCAUCCUGACGUGACCCUCCAGCAUGACAAUGCCACCAGCCAUACUGCUUGUUCUGUGCGUGACUUCCUGCAAGGCAGGAAUGUCAGUGUUCUGCCAUGGCCAGCAAAGAGUCCGGAUCUCAUUCCCAUUGAGCGCGUCAGGGACCUGUUGGAUCGGAGGGUGAGGGCUAGGGCCAUUCCCCAGAGAAAUGUCUGGGAACUUGCAGGUGCCUUGGUGGAAGAGUGGGGUAACAUCACAUAGCAAGAACUGGCAAAUCUGGUGCAGUCCAUGAGGAGGAGAUGCACUGUAGUACUUAAUGCAGCUGGUGGCCACACCAGAUACUGACUGUUACUUUUGUUUUUGACCCCCCCUUUGUUCAGGGACACAUUAUUCCAUUUCUGUUGGUCACAUGUCUGUGGAACGUGUUCAGUUUAUGUCUCAGUUGUUGAAUCUUAUGUUCAUAGAAAUAUUUACACAUGUUAAGUUUGCUGAAAAUAAACGCAGUUGACAGUGAGAGGAGCUUUCCUUUUUUCUGAGUUUAUUUAAUGAAGCUGCCAGUUGAGGACUUGUGAAGCGUCUGUUUCUCAGACUAGACACUCUAAUGUACUUGUCCUCUUGCUCAGUUGUGCACCGGGGCCCCCCACUCUCCUUUUUAUUCUGGUUAGAGCCAGUUUGCACUGUUCUGUGAAGGGAGUAGUACACUGCGUUGUAUGAGACCUCCAGUUUCUUGGCAAUUUCUCGCAUGGAAUAGCCUUAAUUUCUCAGAACAAGAAUAGACUGAUGAGUUUCAGAAGAAAGGUCUUUGUUUCUGGCCAUUUUGAGCCUGUAAUCGAACCCACAAAUGCUGAUGCUCCAGAUACUCAACUAGUCUAAAGAAGGAUAGUUGUAUUGCUUCUUUAAUCAGAACAACAGUUUUCAGCUGUGCUAACAUAAUUGUGAAAGGGUUUUCUAAUGAUCAAUUAGCCUUUUAAAACGAUAAACUUGGAUUAGCUAACACAAUGUGCCAUUGGAACACAUCAGUGAUGGUUGCUGAUAAUGGGCCUCUGUAUGCCCAUGUAGAUAUUCCAUAAAGAAUCAGCCGUUUCCAGCUACAAUAGUCAUUUACAACAUUAACAAUGUCUACACUGUAUUUCUGUUCAAUUUGAUGUUAUUUUAAUGGACAAACAAAUGUGCUUUUCUUUAAAAAAAACAAGGACAUUUCUCAGUGACCAAAGCUUUUGAACAAUAGUGUACCUGCACCAUAUGACUUGUAAGUAAGCCCUCCAUUCAGAUACACGCAUCACUACAAUGUGGAACUGCAUUGGCACUAAGGUGAAGAACCAAAUAUUGGAGAAUGUCAAACAAGCAGUACAGAAUAGUUGGCAUAUAAACAAAAACAAUAUAUUGUUUACAAUAAAAGUACUGUUUACUGAACACAUCCAAAUAUUGAAUAAUCUGCAAAACAUUAUUAGAAUUGUUUAUUUUAUUUGCAACCAUAAUUAUUAUCAAAAGAAUAUAGUCUAAAUUCACUCAUUGAAAACUUUAUUUUGUACUACUUAUAAAAAAUACCCAGUUUUACAAAAGUAAAUCUAUGCUUACUAGUUGGAGAGAGUCCAUCUCAUAACAGUCAUCAGCUUUAUUCAGUCUUUUCAGUUGUUUUGUGAUUCUAUAGUUCCAUAGAAUGUUCUAGAUUGUUCAAACAGUGAUUCUGAAUUCCAUUUCAGCUGAUCAGGAGCUGAAUUUUUAAUCCAUUCAAAAAAAGCAUGUGGUCCCUUCUCCAAGAGACAGCAUUAGAAUAUCAUUGACAUAGUGCCUUUAUGUACAAAAACAAUGUACAAAUCUAUAUAAAACAAUCUAACGUUAGCCUCUACAUCUCACUAUAUCUGUUGUAAAUAAAUAUUUGGUUGUCUGACUUCAUAAUGUAGGAAAUAGUUGAAUCCACGGUAAAGGCAUGUUAGGUGUUCUUUGACUCUAUCUAGCUACCAGAGAGACAUGCACCUAUGCUGGUGUUUGGAAAGGCCUCACUAGUUGAGUAACCCAAAUGGUACCCUAUUCCCUAUGUAGUGCACUACUUUGGCCAGGGCCCUAUUCCCUAUAUAGUGCACUACUUUAGACCAGAACCCUAUUCCCUAUGUAGUGCACUACUUUAGGCCAGGGCCCUAUUCCCUAUAUAGUACACUACUAUAGACCAGGGCUCGAGCUCUGCUCAAAAGUAAUGCAGUAUAUAUGAAAUAGGGGGCCAUUUUUAGUGGCUCUCAGUGACUUGUGAUGUAAAUACCAGCACAUGCCUAUAAUAGACAAUACCAACGUCUAGUCAGAUGGAUAGCUACCAAGCCUUCAUUGGUUGUCUGUGAUGAGACAGAGGUACAGUGGGAGGAGCCUCUUACAUAUCCUGCCUUGUGAUGUAAAAACACUAUGCUUGGUCACCAUAGACUAUGGUUGUGUCACAAAUGUCAUCAUAUUCCCUUUAUAGUGCACUACAUUUGGCUAGGGCCCAUAGGGCUGUGGUCCAAAGUAGUGCACUACAUUUGGCUAGGGCCCAUAGGAUUGUGGUCCAAAGUAGUGCACUACAUUUGGCUAGGGUCCAUAGGACUGUGGUCCAAAGUAGUGCACUACAUUAGGGAUAGGGCACCAUCUGGGACACAGCUUGUAUAUAAUGUCUGUCAGGCUAGGAGGUGAAGGUGAUCCCAUGAUGUAGUAAUCCUCCUCUCAGAGCCAUCCUCCCCUCCUCUCAGAUCGAGACAGGUCCUCCUCUCAGAGCCAUCCUCCCCUCCUCUCAGAUCGAGACAGGUCCUCCUCUCAGAUCGAGACAGGUCCUCCUCUCAGAUCGUGGCAGGUCCUCCUCUCAGAUCGAGACAGGUCCUCCUCUCAGAUCGUGACAGGUCCUCCUCUCAGAUCGUGACAGGUCCUCCUCUCAGAUCGUGAGACAGGUCCUCCUCUCAGAUCGUGACAGGUCCUCCUCUCAGAUCGUGACAGGUCCUCCUCUCAGAUCGUGACAGGUCCUCCUCUCAGAUCGUGACAGGUCCUCCUCUCAGAUCGUGGGUGCUGUUACACUUGGCGGAUGCAGAAGUAGCAACACAAAUUCAACUACAACACUUAAAUGCAAGAUAUCCACAGGAAAAAAAAACUAGGCUAUAGCCUUAGAAGCAAAUUGCUCAAAUUGCUUGUUUUUUGUUCGUGAUGUUGACCAUUCCUUUCCAAGCCCUGAAUGUAUGAAAUAUAGCUUACUUUCUUUUUUCAACAUUAAAAGAAAGUCCAUCAAUAUGUAUAUUUUAUGGAUCAACAAUCUCAAAUAAACAGAUGUAUGUUAUGCACCUCUACAUCACAACAUCUGGCUUUGGAAUAAAAUCUCUCUCUAUAGCAGCCAAGGCAAUAUGUAUAUAUGUAUACAUGAUGUUCAUAUACAAUAAGUAACAAGAAAAUAGUUAAGGACAUAGACACUGUAACAUAUAGCCAUGUCGUACAGAGAGGAGAGGAGGAAGAGGAGGAAGAGGAAGGUGAAGGAGGAGAGGAGGAGGAGGAGGAUGAGAGGGGGACGUGAAGGUGGGAGGAGGAGGAGGAGAGGGGGAUGUGAAGGUGGGAGGAGGAGGAAGAGGGGGACGUGAAGGUGGGAGGAGGAGGUUCUUAGGUAAUGGUAUAAAACUAUUCAGAACUGGGGUGGAAGGAGUUAGGAUAUAGCAUGUGUCUGACCUCCUCAGUAAGAGGAAAAGUUUCUGCUCAACCCAGUAGAGGCAGUAGUCUACUGAGGUCCUGUGUUAGUCCCACUGAGGCAGUAGUCUACUGAGGUCCUGUGUUAGUCCCACUGAGUCAGUAGUCUACUGAGGUCCUCUGUUAGUCCCACUGAGGCAGUAGUCUACUGAGGUCCUGUGUUAGUUCCACUGAGGCAGUAGUCUACUGAGGUCCUGUGUUAGUCCCACUGAGGCAGUAGUCUACUGAGGUCCUGUGUUAGUCCCACAGAGGCAGUAGUCUACUGAGGUCCUGUGUUAGUCCCACAGAGGCAGUAGUCUACUGAGGUCCUGUGUUAGUCCCACUGAGGCAGUAGUCUACUGAGGUCCUCUGUUAGUUCCACAGAGGCAGUAGUCUACUGAGGUCCUGUGUUAGUCCCACUGAGGCAGUAGUCUACUGAGGUCCUGUGUUAGUUCCACUGAGGCAGUAGUCUACUGAGGUCCUGUGUUAGUUCCACUGAGGCAGUAGUCUACUGAGGUCCUCUGUUAGUUCCACUGAGGCAGUAGUCUACUGAGGUCCUGUGUUAGUCCCACUGAGGCAGUAGUCUACUGAGGUCCUGUGUUAGUCCCACUGAGUCAGUAGUCUACUGAGGUCCUCUGUUAGUCCCACUGAGGCAGUAGUCUACUGAGGUCCUGUGUUAGUCCCACUGAGUCAGUAGUCUACUGAGGUCCUGUGUUAGUCCCACUGAGGCAGUAGUCUACUGAGUGUUAGUCCCACUGAGGCAGUAGUCUACUGAGGUCCUGUGUUAGUCCCACGGAGGCAGUAGUCUACUGAGGUCCUGUGUUAGUCCCACUGAGGCAGUAGUCUACUGAGGUCCUGUGUUAGUCCCACUGAGGCAGUAGUCUACUGAGGUCCUCUGUUAGUCCCACUGAGGCAGUAGUCUACUGAAGUCCUCUGUUAGUUCCACUGAGGCAGUAGUCUACUGAAGUCCUGUGUUAGUUCCACUGAGGCAGUAGUCUACUGAGGUCCUCUGUUAGUCCCACUGAGGCAGUAGUCUACUGAGGUCCUCUGUUAGUCCAGAUCUGUCAAGAAACCCAUCCGGAGUUCCUAAGUCUUUCAAUAAGUUGUUUUGUCCCUCUUUAAGUUACUAGCUCAAUCUGCAAUAGGUCCUGUUUUAUUGUGUUCAAACAGGCAAGAAACCCUGAUGAUGAGGUUGGUGAUGGUGAUGAUGAUGAUGAAGAUGAGACUAGUGAGUUGUUUAUUCUCCAGGGUGCUUCAGCAUUCUCCAGAGUGCUUCAGUAUUCUCCAGAGUGCUUCAGCAUUCUCCAGGGUGCUUCAGUAUUCUCCAGAGUGCUUCAGUAUUCUCCAGAGUGCUUCAGCAUUCUCCAGGGUGCUUCAGUAUUCUCCAGCGUGCUUCAGCAUUCUCCAGGGUGCUUCAGUAUUCUCCAGAGUGCUUCAGCAUUCUCCAGAGUGCUUCAGCAUUAUCCAUGGUGCUUCAGUAUUCUCCAGCGUGCUUCAGCAUUCUCCAGGGUGCUUCAGUAUUCUCCAGAGUGCUUCAGUAUUCUACAGGGUGCUUCAAUAUUCUCCAGAGUGCUUCAGCGUUCUCCAGGGUGCUUCAAUAUUCUCCAGAGUGCUUCAGCGUUCUCCAGGGUGCUUCAGCAUUCUCCAGAGUGCUUCACUAUUCUCCAUAGUGCUUCACUAUUCUCCAGAGUGCUUCACUAUUCUCCAGAGUGCUUCAGCAUUCUACAGGAUGCUUCACUAUUCUCCAGAGUGCUUCACUAUUCUCCAGAGUGCUUCAGCAUUCUCCAGGGUUCUUCAGUAUCCUACAGGGUUCUUCAGUAUCCUACAGAGUGCUUCAGUAUUCUACAGAGUGCUUCAGCAUUCUCCAGGGCGCUUCAGCAUUCUCCAUAGUGCUUCAGCAUUCUCCAGAGUGCUUCAGCGUUCUCCAGGGUGCUUCAGCAUUCUCCAUAGUACUUCAGCAUUCUCCAGGGUGCUUCAGUAUUCUACAGGGUGCUUCAAUAUUCUCCAGAGUGCUUCAGUAUUCUCCAGGGUGCUUCAGUAUUCUCCAGGGUGCUUCAGCAUUCUCCAGGGUUCUUCAGCAUUCUCCAGAGUGCUUCAGCAUUCUCCAGAGUGCUUCAGUAUUCUACAGGGUGCUUCAGUAUUCUACAAGGUGCUUCAGUAUUCUACAGAGUGCUUCAGGCUUCCAAUAGGAGGUCCAACAGUCCUUUCCUGAAAAGGUUAAUCAACCAACCAUCUCAUCUCCAUGUAGAUAGGUGACAGUAAUCACUAGGUGGCUUUGCUGCAGAAAGGUUAUUCUGUGUGUGUGUGUGCUUGUGUCUGCGUGUGUCUGUGGGUGAAGGCUGAAGAAAUGUUGCUUGGCCUCUACGACCCUCCCGAACUUCUACAGACGCACCACUGAGAGUAUCCUGUGAGGCUGAAUCACCGCCUGUUAUGACAACUGCACCGCCCGCAGCCACUUGAGCCACGUCCUGUUCACCCCGCUACCAUCUAGAAGGUAAUUAAGGACCUCAGCCACCAGAGCCACGUCCUGUUCACCCUGCUACCAUCUAGAAGGUCAUUAAGGACCUCAGCCACCUGAGCCACGACCUGUUCACCCCGCUACCAUCUAGAAGGUCAUCAAGGACCUCAGCCAACUGAGCCACGGCCUGUUCACCCCGCUACCAUCCAGAAGGUCAUUAAGGACCUCAGCCACCUGAGCCACGACCUGUUCACCCAGCUACCAUCUAGAAGGUCAUCAAGGACAUCAGCCACCUGAGCCACGUCCUGUUCACCCCGCUACCAUCUAGAAGGUCAUCAAGGACCUUAGCCACCUGAGCCACGACCUGUUCACCCAGCUACCAUCUAGAAGGUCAUCAAGGACCUCGGCCACCUGAGCCACGACCUGUUCACCAAGCUACCAUCCAGAAGGUCAUUAAGGACCUCAGCCACCUGAGCCAUGGCCUGUUCACCCCGCUACCAUCUAGAAGGCGGAGACAGUACAGGUGCAUCAAAGCCGGCCUCCACCCAGUACCCUGCCCUGAACCGUAUUGACUGUUACUAGCCAGCUACGACUCAGUAGCCUGCCCUGAACGUUAGUGACUGUUACUAGCCAGCUACCACUUAGUACCCUGCCCUGAACCUUAGUCACUGUUACUAGUCAGCUACCACUCAGUACCCUGCCCCGAACCAUAGUCAUUGUCACUAGCCAGCUCCCACUCAGUACCCUGGCCUGAACCUUAAUGACUGUUACUAGCCGGACUCCACACAGUACCUUGCCCUGAACCUUAGUGACUGUUACUAGCCAGCUACCAAUCGGUACCCUGCCCUGAACCUUAGUGACUGUUACUAGCCGGCCUCCACCCAGUACCCUGCCCUGAACCUUAGUGACUGUUACUAGCCAGCUACCACUUAGUACCCUGCCCUGAACCUUAGUGACUGUUACUAGCAAGCUACCAAGCAGUACCCUGCCCUGAACCUUAGUGACUGUUACUAGCCAGCUACCACUUAGUACCCUGCCCUGAACCCUAGUCACUGUUACUAGCCAGCUACCACUCAGUACCCUGCCCUGAACCUUAGUGACUGUUACUAGCCGGACUCCACUCAGUACCCUGCCCUGAACCUUAGUGACUGUUACUAGCCUCCCCAGUACCCUGCCCUGAACCUUAGUGACUGUUACUAGCCUCCCCAGUACCCUGCCCUGAACCUUAGUGACUGUUGCUAGCCUCCCCCAGUACCCUGCCCUGAACCUUAGUGACUGUUACUAGCCUCCCC